AAGAUUAGCCAUGCAUGUCUAAGUAUAAGCAAUUAUACCGCGAAACUGCGAAUGGCUCAUAAAUCAGUAUCGUUUAUUUGAUAGUACCUUACUACUUGGAUAACCGUGGUAAUUCUAGAGCUAAUACAUGCUAAAAAUCCCGACUCACGAAGGGAUGUAUUUAUUAGAUUAAAAACCAAUGCCCUUCGGGGCUUUCUGGUGAUUCAUAAUAACUUCUCGAAUCGCAUGGCCUUGUGCCGGCGAUGGUUCAUUCAAAUUUCUGCCCUAUCAACUUUCGAUGGCAGGGUCUUGGCCUGCCAUGGUUACAACGGGUAACGGAGGGUUAGGGCUCGACCCCGGAGAAGGAGCCUGAGAGACGGCUACUACAUCCAAGGAAGGCAGCAGGCGCGCAAAUUACCCAAUCCCGACACGGGGAGGUAGUGACAAUAAAUACUGAUACAGGGCUCUUUUGGGUCUUGUAAUUGGAAUGAGUACAAUUUAAAUCCCUUAACGAGGAACAAUUGGAGGGCAAGUCUGGUGCCAGCAGCCGCGGUAAUUCCAGCUCCAAUAGCGUAUAUUAAAGUUGUUGCAGUUAAAAAGCUCGUAGUUGAACCUUGGGCCUGGCUGGCCGGUCCGCCUCACCGCGUGCACUGGUUCGGCCGGGCCUUUCCCUCUGGGGAGCCCCAUGCCCUUCACUGGGUGUGGCGGGGAACCAGGACUUUUACUGUGAAAAAAUUAGAGUGUUCAAAGCAGGCCUAUGCUCGGAUACAUCAGCAUGGAAUAAUAGAAUAGGACGUGUGGUUCUAUUUUGUUGGUUUCUAGGACCGCCGUAAUGAUUAAUAGGGACAGUCGGGGGCAUCAGUAUUCAAUUGUCAGAGGUGAAAUUCUUGGAUUUAUUGAAGACUAACUACUGCGAAAGCAUUUGCCAAGGAUGUUUUCAUUAAUCAGGAACGAAAGUUAGGGGAUCGAAGACGAUCAGAUACCGUCGUAGUCUUAACCAUAAACUAUGCCGACUAGGGAUCGGACGAUGUUAUUUUUUGACUCGUUCGGCACCUUACGAGAAAUCAAAGUCUUU
rnacentral:rRNA from 1 species